ACUCUUAGCGACCCCAUGGACUGCAGCCCACCAGACUCCUCCAUCCAUGGGAUUUUCCAGGCAAGAGUACUGGAGUGGGGUGCCGUUGCCUUCUCCGAACAACCUUGCUAGUUGGGUUCUAUUGUCAGCUUCAAUUUGUAAAUGAGGAGACACAGGUUUAGAGAGUCUAAGUAAUUCCGUAACAGCUUGUGAGUGGUAGAAGCUGGUGUUUAAACCCACCCAUUCUGUUCCUGGAGUCUAUGCUCUUAACCACCACGUUCUGCUGAACUUCAUUGAAUAAAUUACCCCUAAGUCCUUUCCCUUCAAGAACAAGUGAGCUAGAUUAAUUUUUUAAAGUAGGAAGAUUAAAAGUAUUUAGGCCUGGGGUGAACAAAUGAAGUACUAUAGGCCAAAUAUGGUGAGGCCCACAAGCUAAUAAUUUUUUUUCAAGUGGUUGAAAAAAAUUUUAAAUAAUAUUUUGAGACACGUUAAAAUUAUAUACAAUUCAAAUUUUAAUCUCCACAAUUAAAGUUUUAUUGGAACACAAGUAUAUCCAUUCAUGUGUCUCUAGACCCAUUUUGUACUAUAGGAGCAACGCUGAAUAAUUGCAAGAGAGACCCUACAGCCUCCUAACCCUAAAAUAUUUACUAUCUGACACUUUGCAGGAAAAGUUUGCUGAUCCCCUACCAUAACCAAAAACUGGCGAAUGAACAGAAGUAGAUUUAAGAGCUUGAAUUCCUCAGGAAUGUUGUUGUCCUCACCCCUCCUCUCAGCGCCUGGAUGGACCGCUUCCGCGCCUGCACUGCAUUAGGAGGUGGGGUGGGCGUAGGGAGGAAAGAAACCUCUGACCCAGUUGCUGCUGCUGCUCCUGCUAAGUCGCUUCAGUCGUGUCCGACUCUGUGCGACCCCAGAGAUGGCGUUUGUUGCAUUUCCUGGGUGGAGGAGGAAGGUGAAAGGAUGCUCGCUGGUGAAGAUGAAGCUUUCCUUUUUCAGUCCUGAAUCACAGCCAGUUGAGUUUAUCCCUUUUUGGCCGUGGAAUGGUAACUUUCAAUGCCCAUACUGAAACUCUGUAGCCGCUAAACAGAAACUCCCUGGUUUUCCUCCCUCCAGAGACCAACAACCAUCUCUUCCUGCCACUUUGAAUUAGACGUCUCUGGAUAUCUCAGGGAUUGGGCUGUCUUGCCAGUGGGUGUGGAGUUCAGAAGGCCUGGUGCUGGAAUGGAAGAAACAAGCUGAAAGCGGUAGCCACAGGGAUGGUUGGACCAAGGUGGACUGGAGAGAGAUUCCACGUGGUAGCAAAGAGAAACCAGGAUGUGAGUGCCUAUGGCUGGCAUCUCAGGCUCCAUCAAUUCUUUUUAUCUUUUCAUUGAGAAAGAUGUAAAAAGAGGGCAUGCAAUAGAGGGGAUCUUCCUGACCCAAGGAUUGAAAGCACAUCUCCUGGAUUUGCAGGCGGGUUCUUUACCACUGAGCCACCAGGGAAAUGCAGCAGUGGAUCACCAGGACAAAAAGGGCCAGUGGAAGAAAGAAUUACUGGUGUAGCAACCAACAGGCAUACUGAGGGAUUCUGGUCAGAUGGUUACAAAGAAGAACAGAAGAGGAAAAGAUAUAGUCAAAGGAUCAGCAGUGGAGACAUUGGAAAAAGCAGGACCUCACACUGGAAAGUCUCAAAAGGAAGUGAAAGCAGGAGCCAAACUGCUGGGCCCAGAGUGGGUGGAAUGAAAAAGAUAGAUGGUUGUAGAAGAGAUAACUAACGAGGCUCUGAUAACUCUAAUUUUCUGGGCCUUGGUGAGCUUUGCCUAUGCUUCAACUAAAUGGAAAUAUAAAUAGCUGAGAAAGAAGCCAGUGGAUGGGAACUGACAUAAUGGACUAUUGACUCUCUGAGAUAUAAGGGACCUUCUUAAAAGCAUAAUAUUUUACGUGGUCAUUUGUCAGGCUUCCUCUGGGUGAGCGAGCUCCUUUGGGGGAGGUAAGUGGAUUGGCUAAUCUUAGUGUUUUGUUUAAAGUACACCCUUUAAUGUACACCUAGUACAUUGUGCUAGAGAUCAGUUAGCUUCACUGAGCAGACAGGGAGGGAAAAAGACAUAGGCACCCAUCCACCCUCCUCUUUCUCCCAAGGAGCUUUACCAGGUGAGUGCCCAAUAAAAGAUCCAAUACCUACUUUCUUCUCCCUUCCACUAGCCUUGCCAGACCAUCAAGAUCCCUGUCUGAAAGAACCAAGCCAGUCUUCUCUUCCUGCUCUCACAGAGUGGAGUUAGUCCACAGGCCAUCCAGGCAUUUACCCAGUGGACACCACCUCCUAUUAAACCCCCUCACUCCACCCCGAUUGUCUCCACGUACAUAUACCCUCAGCUCUAUGAACCUGUAUCUUCCACCUCUGUGCUCAAUGCUGGGGGUGGAGGGGUGUGGUUUCCAUUAUGCCCCAGCCCAAAGUGAUAGUCCACCCCACUCCCCCAUACCCUUAUUGUCUUCACCAGCAGUCUUUAAUGGACCUGGAGCUUAUUAAAAAAACAAAAAACAACCGAGAAGCAAAGGCUCCAACUCAGAAUUUCCAGGAAUACAGCCUGAGACUCUGUCCUUUCACAAGCCCCCAGCUGAUUCUGAUGCACAGCAUAUAUUUGCAAACUGUUGGGUUCUGGGUGAUGGUUUAGGAUUUCCUAUAAAUUGCUAUGUAUUUUAUGUUAAUUAUGCUUGAGUUAGGUCUAAGCCUCCAGAAGUAAACCAUGAUCUCCUAGACUGGGACCAUCACUUAUAUUCCUUGAUAUUUCCCUUCCCUGACACAGGAAGUGGUGCUCAGAAAAUGACAUUUGAUGAUAUGAGAAAUUGGGUUUUGUCCAUUUUAUAGAAUGACAGUUUGAGGACAUGCUGGUUUAACAUGAUUCCAUCACAAAGCCUAUUGUCUCCAAGCACCCCUCCCUUAAAGAUUUACCCUACGGACUAGAAUUUUGAGAAUUUCCCAACCAGCUUUCCCUCCUCUGGCUGUCUACUAUCCUCACAUCCAAUAUCAUAGUGGUAAUGCUCUCACUUUCACAACAACUUAUUCCUGUUACUUCUGAUACCAUCUCUGUGAAACCAUUUCUUAAAUGUAAAAUUACUGUGUAAUAAA